CAUUAGGUGGUUCAGUGGUAGAAUCCUCGCCUGCCACGCGGGGGGCCCGGGUUCGAUUCCCGGCCAAUGC
rnacentral:tRNA from 1 species